CACUCCUGCGGGAGGCAGCAGUGAGGAAUAUUGGACAAUGGGUGGAAGCCUGAUCCAGCCAUCCCGCGUGCAGGAAGACGGCACUAUGGGUUGUAAACUGCUUUUAUCUGGGGAUAAACCUACUUACGUGUAAGUAGCUGAAGGUACCAGAAGAAUAAGCACCGGCUAACUCCGUGCCAGCAGCCGCGGUAAUACGGAGGGUGCAAGCGUUAUCCGGAUUUAUUGGGUUUAAAGGGUCCGUAGGCGGACUGAUAAGUCAGUGGUGAAAUCCGACAGCUUAACUGUCGAACUGCCAUUGAUACUGUUAGUCUUGAGUAAGGUUGAAGUGGCUGGAAUAAGUAGUGUAGCGGUGAAAUGCAUAGAUAUUACUUAGAACACCAAUUGCGAAGGCAGGUCACUAAGUCUUAACUGACGCUGAUGGACGAAAGCGUGGGGAGCGAACAGGAUUAGAAACCCGUGUAGUCCCA
rnacentral:rRNA from 1 species